rnacentral:lncRNA from 1 species
AAAGGAGUAUUAUUUAGUGUCUUAUUUCAUUUAUCGUCACUUGUUUAGAGUACAAAGCUAGUUUCAAGGUAGGUUUGAUUACCAAUUGAAAAAAUAAAAACAAAAUUAUUCAAUGUUUAAUACAAUUAUUGAAGAGAUUAUUUGCUUGUAGGAGAAUUCAAUCUUUCCAGCACGGCAUUCACAAUAGCUAUCAAUGCACACAGAAAGUUCAUAUUGCCUACAGAAAGUUCAAGCAACUGUGAGAUUUAACUUUUUUCAAAACAACAAAUAACAAAAGAAAUAAAAUUAUAGCUACAACAAAGUUAAGUUGAGAAUAUCAAAUCAAAGUUGCAAGGUGCGUGAAUUUGUGUAACAACCAAAAUCAAGACAAUUUAAUUUCAUUACCAACAUUAUCUCUUUUUUUUUAUUGGAAUGCAUUAUCAACAUUAUAUUAGCAAAAUAAAGCAAAAUAAAAAAAAAAAAUGAUGAUUGGUUCCUUACUAGUAGAAGUCAUUCUACCCAAGUAAUUUAAGACAAUAGCCAUGACU